GGAGGGUUGUCCCAGGGGUGUGGCUAGAAGAUGGGAGGGCAGUGGAGGCAGUGACAGCAGCUGCCAUAGGAAAAGGAGCUCGCCCUAUGGACACAAGUAUGCGGGAAGUCCCAGGAGGCACAGCCUGAGAUAAGAAAGAAAAGAGAUGGAGAAACGCAGAACACAGGAUACAGGAGGAAGAACAAAGGUCUCUGGGCGUGCGGGACCAGAACAGGAAGAAGGGGUUGUUAUGAUGGAAGAGUGAGGGGCUUCCAGUCCCUGACAGCUGCCUGGCUCACUGAGCUCCAGCAGAGAUGAGCGUGGGUCAGGGGACAAGGAUAUAGGCAGCUCUUGUGGAGAGCAUGCCAACAUCCACCUUUCAGGUCCCAGCAUGGCCCCAUCGGGGUCUCGAGGGUGUGCCCUGGUGUGAGUAGGCCCAAGUGCAAUCAAGGUUGCCACAAACUCGUGGAAGGUGAGGAUGAGCCUCGGUGUAAUCAACACUGGGAGGGAAGAACCCAGGCAGCAUGGUUUUUUUAACUAAAAAGUUUUUCAUAUAAUACAUUCUGAUUAUCAUUUCUUCUCCCUCAUCUCCUUCAAGAUCCUCCCCACCUUAACAUAGAAGCAAAAGGCCAGUAAGGUUUUUUUUAAAUGCCCAAACAAAGCAUUAUGAAACAGAAAAGAAAAAAUAUAGAUCAUUGAGUUCAUAAUGUGUUGGCCAUCUCCUGCUGAGCAUGGGGACUACCCCUAAGUGUGGUUUACAUAGGCAGCGAAAGUCCCGUGAAGAAAGUCACUUUUUCUCUGUGAGCAGUUGUCAAUUGGGGAUAGAUUCUUAGUUAGGGAUAAGAGCUUGUCUCUACUUCUCCUCGAAGUGCCUGAAUCCACUCUGCCUUGGACCAGGGCAGGACCCAUUGCAGACAGCAUAAUUUUUGUCAUGGAGAAGUUGUUCCUGUCCUUGACGUCAAAGGCGGCCUGUGACUAUUAAAGUAUUAAGUUCUGGGUCUGGGCAUUUAAACCAGGUUCCUGAACCCUCUGAAAGACCAGGUGAAAAGUCACAGUGGUGGCAUACGCCUUUGAUCCCAGCACUUGGGAGGCAGAGGCAGGAUGAUCUCUGUGAGUUCAAGGCCAGCCUGAUGUACAAAGAGUGUUCCAGCCCAGUAGGGCUCCAUAGUAAGACCUUGUUAAAAAACGAGAGAGAAAGGGGGAUGGAGAAAGAGAAAGGGGGAGAGGGGAGAGACAGAGACUGUGGAGCCCAGUGAGAUCGAGCCUCAAGAGCCCAGCACUUAGGAGGUGGAGGCAAGGGGAUCCAUGUGAGUCACUGCCAACCAGAGCUACAUAGUGAGAUCACCUUUAAAAAAUAAAUUGAAAAAAUCAAACAUCAUUGAAUCCUGCUCCUCUCAUCUGUGAGCCACAUUUCUUCAUAAGCCUCCUGAAAGAUGCCAAUGCCCAAAUAUUCUUCCAGCAAGUCUGGCCUAGAGUAAGACAGAGCAGGGGACAGGACACAGCUGGAUCCUAAGCUGGUCCAGCACACCCACCACCCUUCCUGGAUUUGCUAGGUGCCCCUAAAAGUGGAUUUCUCUUCCUUAGGCCUCAGCCUUGCUCCUUGACUUCAACCACAGGCUCUGGAUGGGAACAGUAUCAGUGUGGACAGGAGUGGGUUUCACAUGUUCUGAUUCUCUGUGCUGCCCCCAAGGGUGGAUUGGGCCACAGGACACUGUUGAUGGUUUGUGGGGUUGCACACUUUGUCUGUAAGCAGGUGGCCAGAAGAGGACACUUGGAUCCCAUGGAACUGGAGUUAGAGGGGAUUGUGAGCUGUCAGAAACGGGGACUGGGCCAAACAAGUCCUCCAGAAGAGCAGCAAGCGCCUUUAGUUACGUAGACAUCUCUCCGGGUCCAGAAGUUCUCCCUUGUGUUUCCACAAAUAAACACUAUUGCUUCCUCCUCCCCCAA